rnacentral:lncRNA from 1 species
GCCCCGGUGCCCGGGCGGGCGGGCAGAGCGGCGGGAGCGCUGCCAGCAGAGCCCAGCCGGCUGCCAGGCUCCGCUCCCCGCCCUUCUUCCCCUGGGCUGUGCCAGGCCGUGCCGAGGAGCCCGCCGUGCCACCAGCCCCCCGAGAGGCCGCCCUCGGUGCCACCAGGCUGAACGGAGCCCCGAGCGAGGGCACGGAGGCGCCCCACCAGGGAACCCUCGAGGGAACCCGUGCCAAGCUGGGCCAGGACGCCGAGCUCGCGGGGACGCCUGAGGGACACGAUGUGGCCGCCCCAAAGGGCAGGCAAGUGACGCUCCUCGACAGGAUCUUCAGGCUGGAGAAGGGCAAGGGAAGGACACAGAGUGACCCCCAGGAGGGAAGGCAGAGCUUGGAUGAUCCCGAUGGGAGCAUCGCGGCCGGCGCGCCCAACGGGGUCCUGCUGGGAAAGAGUGGGGAAGGUCACAGCUGCUGCUGCUGAAGGAAUGCUGUGAAAGUCCAAGGAAAGGACACUUUGGAGCAGUUUUAAGUAAAAUUCAGAGUUAAACAUUGCUGGGAGCAAGCAAUCCUGUUGAAAGCUCAGGAGCUAGAUGAGUGCAGGCAAAAGGAGCUCGGGCAGGACUCUGCAGGUGACCGGAGCCCGGCUGCUGCAGCAGCUGGCAGGGCACAGGUGGAGCAGGGCAGUGCCCAGGCAGCUGCAGGACAGGGCUCAGUCAUGAGCUUCCUCAGAACACUGGUCUCCUCAAGCAAAGCUGAAGCCAAAAGUGAUUCUGAAGAUAAGGGCUCCAGGGCGGAGAAGGGCCCUGGGGGACAGCCUGGCCCGAAGGCAGCCGCAGGAUCCCCCUCCAAAGGAGCCAAGAAAAAGAAGGCAGAGAGCCCCAAAAAGCUGGGCCACAGCACCUUUAGCAAACUCUUUAGGCACAAGGCUGAGAAAGAAACCCAGCAGACAGCCAACACCAAAGUGAGUAGGAGGGGUUGAAUUAUCUGUGCAACGCAGGAAAAGGGAAAUUCUCGCUGGCAUGUUCAGUCUUUAGGUGUUUUCGUUUCUUUAUCUGUGUUCUGGGUUUG